rnacentral:rRNA from 1 species
UUUGAAAAACUUGAUCCUGGCUCAGGACGAACGCGGGCGGCGUGCCUAAUACAUGCAAAGUCGAGCGCGGGAAGCAGGCAGAUCCUGUUUCGGAGGUGACGCCUGUGGAACGAGCGGCGGACGGGUGAGUAACACGUGGGCAACCUGCCUGUAAGAUUGGGAUAACCCCGGGAAACCGGGGCUAAUACCGGAUAAUACUUUUCGUUGCAUAACGAGAAGUUGAAAGGCGGCUUUUAGCUGUCACUUACAGAUGGGCCCGCGGCGCAUUAGCUAGUUGGUAAGGUAACGGCUUACCAAGGCGACGAUGGGUAGCCGACAUGAGAGGGUGAUCGGCCACACUGGGACUGAGACACGGCCCAGACUCCUACGGGAGGCAGCAGUAGGGAAUCUUCCGCAAUGGACGAAAGUCUGACGGAGCAACGCCGCGUGAGUGAUGAAGGUUUUCGGAUCGUAAAACUCUGUUGUCAGGGAAGAACAAGUGCCGUUCAAAUAGGGCGGCACCUGACGGUACCUACC